UACGUAGGUGGCAAGCGUUGUCCGGAUUUAUUGGGUUUAAAGCGUGCGCAGGCGGUUAUUUAAGUCAGGUGUGAAAGCCCUGGGCUUAACCUAGGAAUUGCGCUUGAGACUGGAUAGCUUGGAGUGCGGCAGAGGGAGGUGGAAUUCCACGUGUAGCAGUGAAAUGCGUAGAGAUGUGGAGGAACACCGAUGGCGAAGGCAGCCUCCUGGGCCAGCACUGACGCUCAUGCACGAAAGCGUGGGGAGCAAACAGG
rnacentral:rRNA from 1 species